rnacentral:lncRNA from 1 species
UGGACUCUAAUAAUUUUUGAGUGCCUACGUACCCGGAUCUCGAGAUCAAAGUUGGCGUAGUUCAAAAUUGAUAAAUUUAGUUUGCGUUUGAAAUCAAUUUAUAGUCGGGUGCUCAAGCUAAAUUCUUUUGAAAGUUUCGUGAGUUUGACCAUUACGAAUAACGGGAGAGAUUUAUUUAGGUGGACUUUAAUAAUUUCUGAUUUCCUACGUACCCGGAUCUCGGGAUCCAAGUUUG